rnacentral:rRNA from 1 species
UACGGAGGGUGCGAGCGUUGUUCGGAAUCACUGGGCGUAAAGCGCGUGUAGGCGGCCUUGUAAGUCUGGUGUGAAAGCCCGGGGCUUACCCCCGGAAGUGCACUGGAAACUGUGAGGCUAGAGUACCGGAGAGGAGGGUGGAAUUCCUGGUGUAGCGGUGAAAUGCGUAGAUAUCAGGAGGAACACCGGUGGCGAAGGCGGCCCUCUGGACGGAUACUGACGCUGAGACGCGAAAGCGUGGGGAGCAAACAGG